UACAGAGGUCCCAAGCGUUGUUCGGAUUCACUGGGCGUAAAGGGUGCGUAGGUGGUGAGGUAAGUCGGAUGUGAAAGCUCGGAGCUCAACUCCGAAAUGGCAUUGGAAACUACCUUGCUCGAGGGUUGGAGGGGGGACUGGAAUACUUGGUGUAGCAGUGAAAUGCGUAGAUAUCAAGUGGAACACCAGUGGCGAAGGCGAGUCCCUGGACAACUUCUGACACUGAGGCACGAAAGCUAGGGGAGCAAACAGG
rnacentral:rRNA from 1 species